UAAUAUUUAUUAAUUUAUUUUUUAAAAAAUAAUUUUAUUUUUUAUUAUUUUAUAAGGAAAAAAUUUUAAUAAUUUUAGUUUAAUAGUAUAGUGAUUGAAAAUUUAGUAAAAAAUUUUUAAGAAAUUUUUAGUUAGUGUAUCUUGUGUAUCAGAGUUUAUUUAAUGAUAUUAAUAUAAUUUAAUUUUCUCGAUUUUUUUAGGGCUAAGAAAAUAUUAAUUUUAUUGUAGAAUAAAUAUUUAAAAUAUUUUUUUUGUAAUGAAAUGUUAUUCGUUGUGAAAGGUAUCUAGUUUUUAUAGAAAUAAGUUUAAUUUAGUGAUUAUUAUAUUUAUUUAAAAUUAUAUUUAAAUAUUAAUAAUUAUUAAUAAUUUAAAGGUUAAGCUUUAAAUUAAAUUUUUAAAAAUAUUAUUUAAUAAUAAUAAUAAUAAAUAUAGGAUUAUAAAUUUUUAAUAUUAAUAAUUUGUUAUAAUUAAUAUUAUGAUAUUUUUAUUUAUAAGGAUUUUAGUUAUUUUAUAUAAAAAAUUUAUUUAAUUUUAAAUUGAAUGUUAUUCUUAUAAAAUUAGUAUAAUAUAUUGUUAUGAGAAUUUAAUAUAUAAAAUAUGAUUUAAGAAUUAGGCAAUUUAUUUUUUCGCCUGUUUAGUAAAAACAUGUCUUUAAGAAAAUAAUUUAAAGUUUAAUCUGCCCACUGAAUAUUAAAUGGCCGCAGUAAUUUGACUGUGCGAAGGUAGCAUAAUAAUUAGUUUUUUAAUUGAAAUCUAGAAUGAAUGAUUGGACGAGAAAAAUACUUUUUUAGUGAUAAAUAAUUAUAAUUUUAUUUUUAAGUGAUAAAGCUUAAAUUUUAUUAAAAGACGAGAAGACCCUGUAGAGUUUAAUAUUUAAAAAUUUUAGUUUAUUUGGGCUAAUUUAAAUUAAUAUUGUUUCAUAUUUUAUUGGGGUGAUAUAAAAAGAUAAUUGGCUUUUUAUUAAAUUAACAAUGGUUAUUGAAUUUAUGAUCCUUAUUAUUGAUUAAUAGAUUAAAUUACCUCAGGGAUAACAGCGUAAUUUUUUUGGGAAGUUCUUAUUUAUAGAGAAGAUUGCGACCUCGAUGUUGGAUUAAGAUUAAAAUUUGGUGUAGAAGUUAAAUUAUUAAGUCUGUUCGACUUUAUUAUCUUACAUGAUCUGAGUUUAAACCGGUGUGAGCCAGGUUGGUUUCUAUCUUUAAUUUGUUUAUAUAUUUUAGUACGAAAGGACCAUGUGUA
rnacentral:rRNA from 1 species